rnacentral:lncRNA from 1 species
GGGGGGCGCGGGGCCGGGGGCCCCCCCCGCGGCGGCGACUUCGCCUACGCGCACCUGGCCUGGCUCAUCUACUCCAUCGCCUUCACGCCCAAGGCGGCGCUGAUCCUGGGCACCUCCAUCCUGGAGCUGAUCGAGCUGCGCCUGCCGCUGGGCACCACCGGCUUCCGCAUCACCCUGGCGCUCUCCGCCCCGCUGCUCUACUGCCUGCUGCGGGCCAUCGGCACCGAGGGCUCCGGGCAGCUGCUGCUGCCCCCGCAGCCUCCGCCGCAGCACCGCGCCGCCGCCGCCUUCCUCGCCACCUGCCUCGACCUCCUCGACAGCUUCUCGCUGCUCGAGCUGGUGCUGCAGCCCGGCCGCCCGGCGCCGCUGCCCGCCCCACUGCGCUACCUCCUCAUCGCCGUCUAUUUCCUCUGCCUGGCCUCGCCGGUGCUGUGGCUCUACGAGCUCAGCGCCGCCCGGCCUCCCGGAGCCGCCCGCCUGGCCCUGCACCUGCUGCUGCCCGCCGGGCUGCUGGACGCCCCGCUGCUGGCCCUGCGCUGCCUCCUGCUCCUGCGCUACCAGCAGCCGCUCUCCCUCUUCAUGCUCAAGAACCUCUUCUUCCUCGCCUGCCGCGGCCUCGAGGCGCUGGAGACCUGCUGCCUCCUGCGCCCCGCCGCCGCCCCAACGCCCGCCAAGUACGGGGCCCCCGCCAUGCCCCCCGCCGCCGCCGCCCCGCUGGCCCACGGGCUGUCGGACGCCGACGUGGGUCCCCACGGGUACGUCAACGCCUUGGCGGUCACCGCCCAGGGCUGAGACCCCACCGCCGCCAACAACGCUACCGCCCCGCACCGCCAGGCUUCUUCCAGGCCUCCUGCCCCUCCGCGACGCUCGGAGGAGCCCACCCUUUCCCCCGCCAAGACACCAGGUUGCUGCAUGACCAUCGGGGUCCGGUUUCCCUUUCCUCCCCUCAGCAGCAGGGACCGGUGGAUAUUUUCCCCCUCAUCUGGGAACUCCUGCUGACUGCGGUGAUGGGAUGCAAGCGGGGCCUGAACGACAGCCUCGCACCUUCAGGGUGUGUGCAGGAUGAGAGAUGCAUGCCCUGGUUGCAGCAGGUCUCCCAACGCCGCCACCUCUGCUUCCCUGCGGAGCCCGAGGGGGUCGGGGAGCAGCAGCCAGGGAGCCUCUGGAAGCAACCUGCUCGUUUCAAGCCUAGGAGCCCCUUCCUCCUAGCCGAAAAGUCUACCUCUGUGCUCCAACCUGUCGCGUCAUGCGUUGACUUCACAUGCUACGGACCAGGUCCAGGGGCUCACACCCCAUUUCACUACCCCCGAGACAUUUCUUUCUGAGCGUAGGGCUUCAUUCCACGUAGGCCGGGAAGGCUGGGAAGAUUUCCUCUGCCCCCUCUUCUCACAUCUGCCUGAGUGCACGCUGAGCCUGCAGGCUGCCCCGCUCUGAAACCGGGGGCUGGGUGCUGCUGGGGGUGGCCCUGCGCUCGAUGCACCUCGCAGCACGGAGAGCAAAGCGCUACGGGAGUCUCCGAGGGGCUCACAAGCCUUGGCGAAAGCCCCCGUACCAGCAUCCUGUCCUCUGUGUGCAUGGCCUUGGGGGGGGAGGACAAUUAAUUGUAGGCAGCCUCUCAUAGAAACACAGUUAUCUUUGGUUUUAAGCUCCAUGGAUGUUUGGUGCGGGUGAGGGCCUGCUCUUCCGCCUGGCUCCUGAAGUCCUGCGUGGAAGCAGGAGCACAGAGGCCACGCUUGGAGAAAGGACUUUGCCCCUUUUAUUUUGUUAUCCGGGCAAGGCUGCUUGCAUCAAAAUACAGCACAGUUUCCUGUCCAGAGCCUUUUUUUUCAAGCUGUCCUGGUGAUGAGGGGACCACAAGCACCACCAGCUCCUGCGCAGGGCCCACAGCAGGCCCUGCCUGGAGCUCUGUGCUCCGGCUUCAGCAGGACAGAGCCCCCAUCCCACCCCCUUCCCCGGAGCAGGACCACCACCACCACCACCUGUUUACAGCGUUCCCAGCUCCCAGCUCCCACGGGCACAACCACAGCUGCCGCGGGGCUCUUCCCCCAGCCCUGGGGGCUGGACAAGAUGGGGCGACGGCGCUGCCCUGCUCAGAGCUGCACCCAGGAGGGGCAGCUCGCUGCUCUCCCCCUGCCACACGGAGAGCUGGCAGAGACUGGGCUUCACUUUCCCACCAGUGCUUUAUUUUUAACCUGAGCCCUUGGGUGGGCAGUUGUGUGAAUUUUGGCCAGUGGCCAUCUCUUCUGUAACUUCUUUUUGUCCGGACAAUCUUGGUGCUGUGAGUGACUGUGAUUGUAAAACUGAGUACUGUAAAUUUUUCCUAUGUGAUGUGAGCCGUGUCUAGGGGAUGCUAAUUUCCUGGCCGAGGGGGGUGUAGUCAUAGGUCUGUUACAUCUGUACAGAUACGAGUUUCCUCACACUUUCCUUUCUCAGUGUUAGGCAGGUACCAAAACCUCAGAGCUACAGUCAAGAGAAAAUGAGAUGAUGCCUGCACCUAGGAGUACUCCCUGCUUCAGUCAAACAGCUGAAUGAUAAUGAUAAAAAUACAUGCCCAAAAUAAGGUGAGACAAAAAAAGCUAUUUACCCCCAGCUAUGUUUUGCUGCUCUGAUGGUGUGGUUUGUGAUAGCACCAGAAGUGCGUGCAACAUCCCUCAUACACUGAAGCAUAAGCGUAGCUGAGACACCAGAAGAAUCCCAGCAGAAUUACAAGUCUUACUUCGUGCCCCUUUAUAGCACACAAGCUGCCGUUUCAACAGCGAGUGCCUUUUUUUUUUUUAAAACAAAUUUAAGACAUUAGUGAGAAAAUGGUGAAUCAGAAACUUCCGUAGCCAUGGCAUCUUCAGACCUUUGACUACAUUGAAAUUAGAGUUCAAAUUUGUCCCCAGAUACAAAAAUUGCCUGGGACAGAUGACACUACAAAAUGAUGCUUCUGUUGUGCCAAAUUCCUCUGUAGAUGUAGUUCUCUAUAGCCCCAUGGUUUCUAGCUCAUUAGUAAAUGUGUUGUUUGGAAAGCAUAAAGCUCUCGUAGCAGCUUGCUGUACCGAAGCCCCCCCCGCAAUUAAAAGGGUAGUGCUGCUACUUCAAUUACUUACUCCAGGGAAACAUUUAAAGCUCUGCAACGUCCUGUUUAUAAGCCUGCUCCACCUUUUGAAUUCCCUUCCCUUUGGUAGUUGAGCUCUCACUUCCAUUCACACCCUUCUGCCACAAAACAGAUCCAUCUGUAGAAGAAACAGAGAGCGGUACCAUCCAAGUGCAAGCAAUACCUCCCCCAAUGCACCUUGCACACCUGCUGUAGGUUCUGCCCAACCUUAAUUACUGCUCCAGGUCAGUAACACUUCGCUAAGGUUGUGCCACACAAAGACACACAGCCCUUGGAGUCCUGUUAUAAGGCCUGUAGCAGAGCUCAGCUCUUCAGCAUUUUGUUGCUGUUUGCUAUCCUGGCAAAAGAGAUGGCUACUCCCAGAAGGAAAAAAUGAAAUGAAAGAUGCAGCCUGUGGCCAGUGCACAUUUGGCAUCCCCUGGCAUUAAUCAGAACUUGUAUUUUUUAAAAAGCAAGAUUGUUAAAAUAAAAUUAGAAACUUGUGACUGAUUUUGCGCUUU